CCUUAUGAUGUGGUACUUGAUACAGCUCACCUACACUGCAGAUGAACAAGUAAGCAUGUGAUGUAAUGCAUUCUCCAAAUCUGUUUAGAUGAAGAAAUAAACUCAUCUACAUCUUGGGAUGGCCUAAAAUAUUUCUCAGAGACGGAUGUCAUCCAGUGAGGUGAGCCGAUGACCAAAUAGCAGUUCCUCGUAGUCAGAGAGCUGCCGAAGAAACCCAGCAUUCGGGGCAGCGCAAGCUCGUCUUUCCUUCAGCCAACGGAAA